GAAUUUUGAACAAUGGGCGAAAGCCUGCUCCAGCAAUGCCGCGUGCAGGAUGCAGGCCUUCGGGUUGUAAACUGCUUUUGUACGGAACGAAAAGCUUUGGGUUAAUACCCUGGAGUCCUGCCGGUACCGUACGACUAAGCACCGGCGAACUCCGUGCCAGCAGCCGCGGUAAUACGUCGGGUGCAAGCGUUAAUCGGAAUUACUGGGCGUAAAGCGGGCGCAGGCGGUUUUGUAAGGCAGAGGUGAAAUCCCCGGGCUCAACCUGGGAACUGCCUUUGUGACUGCAAGGCUAGAGUACGGCAGAGGGGGGUGGAAUUCCGCGUGUAGCAGUGAAAUGCGUAGAUAUGCGGAGGAACACCGAUGGCGAAGGCAACCCCCUGGGCCUGUACUGACGCUCAUGCACGAAAGCGUGGGGAGCAAACAGG
rnacentral:rRNA from 1 species